GCUGGGUGUGGUGGCUCACACCUGUAAUCCCAACUACCUGGGAGGCUGAGGCAGGAGAAUCGCUUAAACCUGGGAGGUGGAGGUUGCAGUGAGCCGAGAUCGUGCCACUGCACUCCAGCCUGAGUGACAGAGUGAGAUCCUGUCUCAA
rnacentral:SRP_RNA from 2 species